GGGAAGAUAGCUCAGAGGUAGAACAUAGGACUUGAAAGCCUGAGGGUCCAGGUUCAAUGCCUGGUAUCACCA
rnacentral:tRNA from 1 species